rnacentral:rRNA from 1 species
ACGUCCUACGGGUAGGCAGCAGUCGGGGAAUAUUUGCACAAUGGGCGCAAGCCUGAUGCAGCCAUGCCGCGUGUGAUCGAAGAAGGCCUUCGGGUUGUAAAGUACUUUCAGCAGUGAGGAAUGGUAGUGUAGUUAAAUAGCUCGCAUUAUUUGACGUUAGCUGCAGAAUGAAAGCAACCGGCUAACUCCGUGCCAGCCAGCCGCGGUAAUACGGAGGGUGCGAAGCGUUAAUCGGAAUUACUGGGCGUAAAAGCGCAAUGCAGGUGGUUUGUUAAGUCAGAUGUG